rnacentral:rRNA from 1 species
GAUCCUGGCUCAGGAUGAACGCUAGCGACAGGCUUAACACAUGCAAGUCGAGGGGCAGCGGGGGUAACGAUACCCGCCGGCGACCGGCGCACGGGUGAGUAACGCGUAUGCAACUUACCUAUCAGAGGGGGAUAACCCGGCGAAAGUCGGACUAAUACCGCAUGAAGCAGGGGUCCCGCAUGGGGAUAUUUGCUAAAGAUUCAUCGCUGAUAGAUAGGCAUGCGUUCCAUUAGGCAGUUGGG